rnacentral:rRNA from 1 species
GAUAAACGCUGGCGGCGUGCUUUAUGCAUGCAAGUCGAACGGUACCGAUGAGCCAAGCUUGCUUGGAACAUCGGGAGAGUGGCAAACGGGUGAGUAACACGUAAGUAACCUGCCCCCAAGUGGGGAAUAACCCCGAGAAAUCGGAGCUAAUACCGUAGUGGUGGUGGAGGUAAGGCUUCAUCACUAAAGCCUUCGGGCGCUUGGGGAGGGGCUUGUGUCCGAUUAGCUAGUUGGUAGGGUAACGGUUUACCAAGGCGAUGAUCGGUAGCUGGUUUGAGAGGACGAUCAGCCACACUGGGACUGAGACACGGCCCAGACUCCUACGGGAGGCAGCAGCAAGGAAUUUUGUGCAAUGGGCGAAAGCCUGACACAGCGACGCCGCGUGAGGGAUGAAGGCCUUCGGGUUGUAAACCUCUUUUCUUAGGGAAGAAUAAUGACGGUACCUGAGGAAUAAGUCUCGGCUAACUACGUGCCAGCAGCCGCGGUAAUACGUAGGAGGCGAGCGUUAUCCGGAUUUACUGGGCGUAAAGAGGGCGUAGGCGGCUUUUCAAGUCGGGUGUGAAAUCUCCCUGCUUAACGGGGAGGGGUCAUUCGAUACUGUUGAGCUAGAGGGCAGCAGAGGGAGGUGGAAUUCCCGGUGGAGUGGUGAAAUGCGUAGAUAUCGGGAGGAACACCAGUGGCGAAGGCGGCCUCCUGGGCUGUUUCUGACGUUGAGGCCCGAAAGCGUGGGGAGCGAACAGGAUUAGAUACCCUGGUAGUCCACGCUGUUAACGAUGGAUACUAGGUAUAGGGAGUAUCGACCCUCUCUGUGCCGAAGCUAACGCGUUAAGUAUCCCGCCUGGGGACACGGCCGCAAGGCU